rnacentral:rRNA from 1 species
GGUUCCAACUGCCCGUACCCUAAACCGACACAGGUGGACUGGUAGAGCAUACCAAGGCGCUUGAGAGAACGAUGCUGAAGGAACUAGGCAAAUUGCUCGCGUAACUUCGGGAUAAGCGAGACCCUUCCUUGGGCAACCAGGGUGGGGUGACACAAACCAGGGGGUGGCGACUGUUUAGUAAAAACACAGG